UUACGAUCAUAUCACAUUGAAACACUGCUUCUUGUAUGAUCACAGAAGCUAAGCAACAUUGAGCCUAGUCAGUACCUAGAUGGGUGACUAUAUGGGAAUACCGGGUACU